rnacentral:rRNA from 1 species
GACGAACGCUGGCGGCGCGCUUAACACAUGCAAGUCGAACGGAAAGGCCUGCUUUCCCUUGUGGAUUGCGGGUACUCGAGUGGCGAACGGGUGAGUAACACGUGAGUGAUCUGCCCCCAACUUGGGUAUAAGCCUGGGAAACUGGGUCUAAUUCCCGAUAGGACUGCAGGGUGGUGCCUGUGGUGGAAAACGAUUUUCUAGUGGUUGGGGAUGAGCUCGCGGCCUAUCAGCUUGUUGGUGGGGUAAUGGCCUACCAAGGCGGCGACGGGUAGCCGGCCUGAGAGGGUGGACGGCCACAUUGGGACUGAGAUACGGCCCAGACUCCUACGGGAGGCAGCAGUGGGGAAUAUUGCACAAUGGGCGGAAGCCUGAUGCAGCGACGCCGCGUGGGGGAUGACGGCCUUCGGGUUGUAAACUCCUUUCGACCGCGAGGAAGCCUCCUGGUUGGAAGGGUGGUGACGGUAGUGGUAGAAGAAGCACCGGCUAACUACGUG